CAGGGUGUGGUGAAGUGGUUAACACGGGCGAUUGUGGCUCGUCCAUUCGAGGGUUCGAUUCCCUCCUCCCUGAUUU
rnacentral:tRNA from 1 species